CCACAUUUUUUUCUUUUCCCGCAACAGCAAAAACUUACCCUAAACCCUAAUAUUUUCCCUCAAACUCCUACUAGAUUCUAUCAAUUGCUUCCACAGAACAAACCCAAAAUGGCACUGUAAUACCCCCAACAAGAAACCCUUAUUACAACAACAACAACAGACACAAACCAAGAACCUCAAAAUCCUCAAAUAAUACAAGAAGAAACGGACCAAAGUGGUUCAGUAAAACCCGAAGAGGCUACUACUAUUACUAAUACAGAGGUUGUUUCAGUAGAGAAACCAAAGUGGCCUGGUUGGCCUGGGAGUUGUGUUUUUAGGUUGGUAGUACCUGUGUUAAAAGUUGGUAGUAUUAUUGGGAGAAAAGGUGAGCUUGUUAAGAAGAUGUGUGAAGAAACUGGGGCGAAGAUUCGCGUUCUUGAUGGGCCUGUUUCUUUGCCUGAUCGCAUUCUAUCAUUAUUCAAUAUUUGCUGUUGUGAAGGCUUCCGACCUCCUUAUUCUGUUCUGCCCUCUCUUUGAUACACACUUGUUAAGUGAAAAUCUGCAUUUGGUGAAAUACACACUGAAAUAAAAGGGACAUCAUCACAAGUUCAGACAGCCCAGCAACUUAUGCAGGAAUUUAUGGGUAGCCACAAAGAAUCACUUCCGAGCAGUUAUGGCCAGUUAGAUACAGGCUUGAGGCAGUCUUCUUACUCUAACCUAGGCAGUGGGUCCUACCCCUCAUCUUCAUACGGUGGACAGCAAUAUGGUGGUGGCUAUGGAUCAUCAUUCGGUGCAGGCGGAGGAGGGUACAGUAGUUACAGGUCAUGAACAGAUUAGCUUGAGUCUUAGCACUUGUACUUCCCAUCCUCUAUUUGUUGUGCAUUUGGUGCCAGAGCAAAUACCUAAGGAACUGCAUGUGGUUCAUGCUUUGUUAGUCGGAUGUCAGUUACAGGAAUGUAUUGAUAGCUUUUCAGUAGCUGCUCACCAUAGCUUGUAGUUCUUACAUGUGUAUCAAUAUGAUUGAAUCUUGGAAGUGUAAUAUGGUCAAGUUCUGUA